AAAAGCAAGAAACAGAAACAGAAAGAGAAGGAGAUUUUGUCAGCUGAUUGUGGAUGAUCCCUGCUGCAGCAUUUUUUUUUUUUUUUUGGGCUCGUUCCUUCUUCCUUCUUCUAUUGUAUUAU
rnacentral:ribozyme from 1 species